rnacentral:rRNA from 1 species
CNACCUGCCGAUGACUCGGGGAUAGUCUUUCGAAAGAAAGAUUAAUACCCGAUGGCAUAGUUCUUCNNCAUGGUAGAACUAUUAAAGAAUUUCGGUCAUCGAUGGGGAUGCGUUCCAUUAGGUUGUUGGCGGGGUAACGGCCCACCAAGCCUUCGAUGGAUAGGGGUUCUGAGAGGAAGGUCCCCCACAUUGGAACUGAGACACGGUCCAAACUCCUACGGGAGGCAGCAGUGAGGAAUAUUGGUCAAUGGACGAGAGUCUGAACCAGCCAAGUAGCGUGAAGGAUGACUGCCCUAUGGGUUGUAAACUUCUUUUAUACGGGAAUAAAGUGAGGCACGUGUGCCUUUUUGUAUGUACCGUAUGAAUAAGGAUCGGCUAACUCCGUGCCAGCAGCCGCGGUAAUACGGAGGAUCCGAGCGUUAUCCGGAUUUAUUGGGUUUAAAGGGAGCGUAGGCGGACGCUUAAGUCAGUUGUGAAAGUUUGCGGCUCAACCGUAAAAUUGCAGUUGAUACUGGGUGUCUUGAGUACAGUAGAGGCAGGCGGAAUUCGUGGUGUAGCGGUGAAAUGCUUAGAUAUCACGAAGAACUCCGAUUG